AUACGUAGGGGGCGAGCGUUGUCCGGAAUGAUUGGGCGUAAAGGGCGCGUAGGCGGCGCGGUAAGUCUGGAGUGAAAGUCCUGCUUUCAAGGUGGGAAUUGCUUUGGAUACUGCCGCGCUUGAGUGCAGGAGAGGUUAUCGGAAUUCCCGGUGUAGCGGUGAAAUGCGUAGAAAUCGGGAGGAACACCAGUGGCGAAGGCGGGUAACUGGACUGCAACUGACGCUGAGGCGCGAAAGUGUGGGGAGCAAACAGGAUUAGAUACCCUGGUAGUCCACGCUGUAAACGAUGAUGACUAGGUGUGGGGGGACUGAACCCUUCCGUGCCGCAGUUAAGACAAUAAGUCAUCCACCUGGGGAGUACGGCCGCAAGGUUGAAACUCAAAGGAAUUGACGGGG
rnacentral:rRNA from 1 species